UACGUAGGGGCCGAGCGUUGUCCGGAGUUAUUGGGCGUAAAGCGCGCGCAGGCGGCCUCGCGCGCCCGACGUGAAAGCCCCCGGCUUAACCGGGGAGAGUCGUUGGGGACGGCGGGGCUUGAGGGCGGGAGAGGUCGGUGGAAUUCCCGGUGUAGUGGUGAGAUGCGUAGAGAUCGGGAGGAACACCUGUGGCGAAGGCGGCCGACUGGGCCGACCCUGACGCUGAGGCGCGAAGGCGUGGGGAGCGAACGGG
rnacentral:rRNA from 1 species